rnacentral:rRNA from 1 species
CAGUAGCCGCGGGAAUACGAAGGGGGCUAGCGUUGCUCGGAAUUACUGGGCGUAAAGGGCGCGUAGGCGGACAGUUAAGUCGGGGGUGAAAGCCCGGGGCUCAACCUCGGAAUUGACUUCGAAACUGGCUGUCUUGAGUACGGGAGAGGUGAGUGGAACUCCGAGUGUAGAGGUGAAAUUCGUAGAUAUUCGGAAGAACACCAGUGGCGAAGGCGACUCACUGGCCCGUUACUGACGCUGAGGCGCGAAAGCGUGGGGAGCAAACAGGAUUAGAUACCCGUGUAGUCCCUGUCUCUUAUAC